GGAUUUAGGAAGGGGCACCAAAGUCUCCAGGGAGCCAGCUUCACUUUUUUUUUAUUAAAAAGUUUUAUCAAGUAUUACAACAAUUUUACCCAUACCCAUUUUUUUUGUUUCAUUCAUAAGCUAUUUGAAAUUUUUUAGUCCAAUAUUUGUUUUGAAUAUAGUCAAUCCAUCUUCUCCAUUCCGAUAUAUAUCUUUCAUUUGAAUGGUCCUUCUCUGCUAAAUUCACUACUUUUAAUGUCCAUUCUUCAAUAGUAGAAAAGCAAGGAAAAAUCAAGCUGCUAACAAGGAACCUGCUGAUACUCAUUCUACAUUCCUGCCAGCUGCAUAAAGGAAACUUUGUAAGAAAACAGCUACUAGUGCUUAGAGAUAAUAGAAGUUGGAAGUCAGAAGUUCGGCUCCAUUUACAAGUAGGCAGAAAACUCAUUCAAGAUAGGAUAUUUCACAAUGGAAAUCGCCCAAACCUUUUUAGAAACACAAAGCCCAUGUUGCACAAAGCCCAUGUUGCACAAAACACAGAACCAUAUAAGAAUCCUUUCUCUUAUCCGGUUUGUUGUUCAGCUAACCCAGAAACGAACUGCUGAAUGUCACUUCGCUUCUGCAAGUAAAAACCUCCUUCCAA